rnacentral:rRNA from 1 species
UACGCAGGGGGCUAGCGUUGUUCGGUUUUACUGGGCGUAAAGGGCUCGUAGGCGGAUUUUUAAGUCGGGGGUGAAAUCUCGGAGCUCAACUCCGGAACUGCCUUCGAUACUGAAAGCCUGGAGCACGGUAGAGGUGAGUGGAAUUCCGAGUGUAGAGGUGACUUUCGUAGAUAUUCGGAGGAACACCAGUGGCGAAGGCGGCUCACUGCACCGUUGCUGACGCUGAGGCGCGAAAGCGUGGGGAGCAAACAGG